UCGCUACUACCGAUUGAAUGAAUUAGUGAGCCUUAGGGACAGAUCUUUUUGGUGGCGUUUGCUGCCUUCUUGAUUCGAAACUAAUGCUAACUUGUUUGUUUAGAGGAAGUAA
rnacentral:rRNA from 1 species